GCCCUGCUGAGGAGUCCCAUACCAGGACGAAACGGCCGUCUAGUGC
rnacentral:hammerhead_ribozyme from 1 species